CUAUGCCUACGGGGGGCAGCAGUCGGGAAUAUUGCGCAAUGGAGGAAACUCUGACGCAGUGACGCCGCGUAUAGGAUGACGGCCCUACGGGUUGUAAACCUCUUUUGUCGGGGAGCAAAUUCCGUUACGUGUAACGGAGUCGAGAGUACCCGAAGAAAAAGCAUCGGCUAACUCCGUGCCAGCAGCCGCGGUAAUACGGAGGAUGCGAGCGUUAUCCGGAUUUAUUGGGUUUAAAGGGUGCGUAGGCGGACUGUCAAGUCAGCGGUAAAAUACGGGGGCUCAACCUCCGCCCGCCGUUGAAACUG
rnacentral:rRNA from 1 species